CCACACCAUUCCAAACCAGAAAAGCUGCUUUUAACAUACUUAAUUACCAUAUUUUGGAAGGAAAACUAUUUCACUCAUAUUGUAAUAAAUGAUGGGUCAUAUUUCGGAGAUAUCUGGAAACGAUGGACAGUUACUUUAAGAGAUUUAUCUAAAGAAUCUUAUUUCUGGCGGGGGGGGGGGGGGUGUGGACACGACAGGGAUGCGAAGAAAGAUACGCAGACUUGCUGUACUAAUGUAUGGAGAUUAUUUUAAUAGUGUGUGUGUGUUCAGAUGAGCCAGUGGAGGCAUACAGAACCCUGAGGCAGGUGGUGAAGGACUAUCUGGGAGUGGAGGAGCAGGGAGGAGAGGACCAGAGCACCCCAGACAACACCUCCACAGGUGGGUGGGUGGGUGUGUGUUUGUGUGCAUUAUAGCACAUAUAUGUGCGACCGAGUGUGUCAUUAACGUGUCAGCAUCUGUGACAGAGUUGAAGAGGGACUCCUUAGUGGACGAGGUGCCCCCAGCCCCCUCCACCAGGCCAGAGACAGUCUUUAAGUCCCGCUCCGCUCCAGACAUGGACCCCUCGGACCACAACUGUAGGAAGUACUACAACAAGGUCCAGGCCCAGCUCACCCCACAGAAGACCUCAGCAGAGCUGGCCUCCAUCCACAGACGGCAGCAGCUGGUCAGAGAGGCUCUGAUGGGGAAGAGUCCCAGAGCCUACACCCAGCUCUUCAAGAGGUGUGUUCACACAGCUCCAUCAUCAUUGGCCUCUCAGACACAGCGGGACCCCACCCUCUCAUCCCCCAUGAUGCCUAGAGCCAGCCAUGACGGACAACACAACCACUCAGAGAAUAACAGCUCUGAUGACUCCCGUGCUAGUUCUGGCCUGUCCAUUCCCAGCUCAGCAGGGGCCUUCUCAGAGACAGCAGGGCCAGCCGGGUGUUCAGACCUGGGCUUGGACACCACCGUGGAGCCCCUGGAUGUCUCCCCUCUGGGACACAACCUGGACAUGCUGAAAGGUGACUCACCCUAGCUCAAUCUCCUCUCGUUUUGACCAAUGACUGGCUCCCUCUCUGUAUCUGUCUCUGCCUUUCUUCAUGUCUCUCUCUCUAGCAGGUGGACAUUUUGUCAUGAC
rnacentral:lncRNA from 1 species